GGAGAAGGUGCCAUAUAGCUCAGUGGUGGAGCAUCUGCCUCACAAACAGGGGGGUCCCAGGUUCGAUCCCCAGCAUCUCCA